rnacentral:rRNA from 1 species
GGAAUAUUGCACAAUGGGCGCAAGCCUGAUGCAGCAACGCCGCGUGAAGGAUGAAGGCUUUCGGGUUGUAAACUUCUUUUCUGGGGGACGAGAAAGGGCGGUACCCCAGGAAUAAGUCUCGGCUAACUACGUGCCAGCAGCCGCGGUAAAACGUAGGAGGCGAGCGUGAUCCGGAUUUACUGGGCGUAAAGCGCGGGUAGGCGGUGACUUAAGUCAUGCGUGAAAGCUCCUGGCUCAACUGGGAGAGGUCGUGUGAAACUGGGUCACUAGAGGCAGGUAGAGGCAAACGGAAUUCCGGGUGGAGUGGUGAAAUGCGUAGAGAUCCGGAGGAACACCAGUGGCGAAGGCGGUUUGCUGGCCCUGACCUGACGCUCAGACGCGAAGGCAUGGGGAGCGAAC